rnacentral:rRNA from 1 species
GGCGGCCCGAGUGGUAGCCGUUAUUAUUGGGUUUAAAGGGUCCGUAGCCGGCCUAUUAAGUCUCUUGGGAAAUCUGGCGGCUCAAUCGUCAGGCGUUCAAGAGAUACUGGUAGGCUUGGGACCGGGAGAGGUGGGAGGUACUCCAGGGGUAGGGGUGAAAUCUCGUAAUCCUUGGGGGACCACCGAUGGCGAAGGCAUCCCACCAGAACGGGUCCGACGGUGAGGGACGAAAGCUGGGGGCACGAACC